GGAUACACUGCCAAUAUUCAACCAGCUUUGUAUCAUAAUGUUGUUGGUAGUCUGUGUAAAUGAACUAUAUUGCACUUCCCUCCACUUUAGCAGUGCCCAGAUAUCCCUACUCACAGGCCAGCAGCAAACCCUCCAAGUGACAUUUUAACACAAAACAAAUUU